GAGGGGAUAGCUCAGGGUAGAGUGUGUGCUUGGCAUGCAUGAAGUCCUGGGUUCGAUCCUCAGUACCUCCA
rnacentral:tRNA from 1 species